GAUGAACGCUGGCGGCGUGCUUAACACAUGCAAGUCGAACGGUGAAGCCAAGCUUGCUUGGCGGAUCAGUGGCGAACGGGUGAGUAACACGUGAGCAACCUGCCCUGGACUCUGGGAUAAGCGCUGGAAACGGCGUCUAAUACUGGAUAUGAGACGUGAUCGCAUGGUCGUGUUUGGAAAGAUUUUUCGGUCUGGGAUGGGCUCGCGGCCUAUCAGCUUGUUGGUGAGGUAAUGGCUCACCAAGGCGUCGACGGGUAGCCGGCCUGAGAGGGUGACCGGCCACACUGGGACUGAGACACGGACCAGACUCCUACGGGAGGCAGCAGUGGGGAAUAUUGCACAAUGGGCGAAAGCCUGAUGCAGCAACGCCGCGUGAGGGAUGACGGCCUUCGGGUUGUAAACCUCUUUUAGCAGGGAAGAAGCGAAAGUGACGGUACCUGCAGAAAAAGCGCCGGCUAACUACGUGCCAGCAGCCGCGGUAAGAC
rnacentral:rRNA from 1 species